GGCUCGUUGGUCUAGGGGUAUGAUUCUCGCUUCGGGUGUGGGAGGUCCCGGGUUCAAAUCCCGGACGAGCCC
rfam:Danio rerio chromosome 4, GRCz11 reference primary assembly.